ACUGCUCAGUAACACGUGGAUAACCUGCCCUGCGGUGGGAAAUAACCCCGGGAAACUGGGGAUAAUGUCCCAUAGGCUACGGAUACUGGAAUGUUCUGUAGUCAAAAGAUUUAUCGCCACAGGAUGGGUCUGCGGCCGAUUAGGUAGUUGUUGGGGUAAAGGCCCAACAAGCCUUUGAUCGGUACGGGUUGUGGGAGCAAGAGCCCGGAGAUGGAUUCUGAGACACGAAUCCAGGCCCUACGGGGCGCAGCAGGCGCGAAAACUUUACAAUGCGGGAAACCGUGAUAAGGGAACUCCGAGUGUCCGUAAAUUCGGACUGUCCGUAUGUUAAAAAAGCAUACGAAGAAAGGGCCGGGCAAGACCGGUGCCAGCCGCCGCGGUAAUACCGGCGGCUCGAGUGGUGGCCACUAUUACUGGGCUUAAAGCGUUCGUAGCUUGGUUGUUAAGUCUCUUGGGAAAUCUAUCGGCUUAACCGAUAGGCGUCCAGGGGAUACUGGCAAUCUAGGGACCGGGAGAGGCGAGGGGUACUUCAGGGGUAGGAGUGAAAUCCUGUAAUCCUUGGGGGACCACCUGUGGCGAAGGCGCCUCACCAGAACGGCUCCGACAGUGAGGGACGAAAGCUGGGGGAGCAAACCGGAUUAGAUACCCGGGUAGUCCCAGCCGUAAACGAUGCACGUUAGGUGUAUCGAUGACCACGAGUCAUCGAGGUGCCGAAGGGAAACCGUGAAACGUGCCGCCUGGGAAGUACGGUCGCAAGGCUGAAACUUAAAGGAAUUGGCGGGGGAG
rnacentral:rRNA from 1 species